CGGGAAGAGCUCAAAUUUAAAAUCUGGCGUGCCUCUGGUCGCCCGAGUUGUAAUCUAGAGAAGCAUUAUCCGCGCUGGACCGUGUACAAGUCUCCUGGAAUGGAGCGUCAUAGAGGGUGAGAAUCCCGUCUUUGACACGGACUGCCAGGGCUUUUGUGAUGUGCUCUCAAA
rnacentral:rRNA from 1 species